GACGAACGCUGGCGGCGUGCUUAACACAUGCAAGUCGAACGGAAAGGCCCUGCUUUUGUGGGGUGCUCGAGUGGCGAACGGGUGAGUAACACGGGAGUAACCUGCCCUGGACUGUGGGAUAUCUUCAGGAAACUGGGGAUAAUACAGGAUAGGAGCUCCUGCUGCAUGGGGGGGGUUGGAAAGUUUCGGCGGUUGUGGAUGGACUCGCGGGUUAUCAGCUUGUUGGGGGGGUAGUGGCUUACCAAGGGUUUGACGGGUAGCCGGCCUGAGAGGGCGACCGGCCACAAGGGUACUGAGAGACGGACCAGACGCCUACGGGAGGCAGCAGUGGGGAAUAUUGCACAGUGGGCGGACGCCUGAGGCAGCAACGCCGGGUGCGUGAAGACGGCUUUCUGGUUGGAAACCGCUUUCGCUUGUGACGAAGCGUGAGUGACGGUAAUGGGUAAAGAAGCACCGGCUAACUACGUG
rnacentral:rRNA from 1 species